rnacentral:lncRNA from 1 species
AAAAAGUAUAUUAUAUUACCACUUUGCCAUAUUUAUUCACAGUUAAGAGGGAGAAUGAUAGAUCCAUCACCAGCCGCAGAAGAAUAGAAAGGAAGUAACACUAAUUCUCAUAUCUUGAACCAGUGUGCUGCCGUGACCCGUCACUAAGGUCAAACGUUAUUCCCCAUCGCCACCGCCACACUGCUGUUCUGCCCCUGCUACUGAAUCGAGGCCGAGUGACAUGCACACAGUGGUGCACUGCGGUCAUGAGGAAAGGCAACCCAAAUUUUGUCUUAAUUCGCUCUAUCUCAUAAUCCCUCGCCUUCAGUAGGUUGUAUAGCUUCUUGUACUCUACAAUAUGAUAGCACAUGACAUGAGAAUUAAUGAUAGCACAUAGUGACAUGAGAAUUAGUGGUACUGCAUGUCUCCUUCAGGAAGCUUGUUUUCUAGCAUGUCAUCAAAACACCUAAACAACAAUUAUCAUUAAUAAUUGUUAUUUCCUUGUAAUCAAACAACAAAGGAGCUGCUCGAUCAAGUAUUUUCCAAGCCAAUUCAACCAACAAUGUUGAAUGGUUUUGCACUACUGAAAUUGGUCAUGACCAUCUUCAAUCUGAAGGAGCACGUCUCAAAAUUAAUUAAGGAAAACUUGCACAAGCAUUAGUAGUCUAGUACUAUGAUCUAGGGGCUAUUGAUCUUAAAAACAAGUGUAACCAAAUUCAAGCAUAAAAAGCUGAACCAAACAUCUCCACUCCAUUGCCAAGUACAAACAAGCUGUCUAUGUACGAAUCUCAUCUCCCCCUCCUGAAAAAAAUGUUGAAAUCGUGGUACUGGUAGCACAAAAAAUGCAUGUUCGAUCGCACUAAGCCUAUGAGUGACUCUACUGAUUGCUAGCAAUCACUGACGAUAUUACCCUAACAAAAUCUCUCCCCAGCAAUCCGUUUAACUUGCAUAGAGAAGAACCGCCUUUCAAAUGACGUGCUCAAACUAAUACAUAAUUCAGUUUGCAUGCAUUUACUAAAAUCGAAUUGUCUAAUGCAUGCACAUUCUCACUGGCGCUGCUUAUAGAGAAGCUAAAUACAUAAUUUAUUAUCCAGACUAAUUUUUUGCGAUCAGUGAGGUUAAUAGUCCCCAAAUCUGGCUGAAGCCAGCAUCAUGGAUAUUUCUAGAUUGUGUAAACAUUUACUGCCGGGAAAAAAAUGUAAACACCUCUGCUCCUCCUUGACAUCUGUCGCCGUCUCCACUACCAUGUCAUUGGGUCGUGGUCAGUGUGGCGGAGGACGAACUCGAUCUAAGCCAUUAAAAAUGUAUGAUACAAAAACAAAGCACUCCAUCCGUUUGCCUAAAAUGGAUCUGUAUGAAAAUUCUUGUAGUUCUUAAGUAUUUCACAAAUCUCGGCAGCAAGUAACCAUCAAUGUUGAGACUCCUUCAAUAUCCGCACCACCUCUGUUCAUAAGUAAUUGAAAUAUAAAAUUAAAUUCAAUAUAAUAAAAACUGAGUGACCUGAAAGUGGAUUUUAAAACAUUCGAAUGGAAAUGUCACGAGGAUUGCUUUCCCAAUCUUCAGAAAUUGAAACAUGUAUCAUCAUCAAAAUUCAGUUACAGAGUUCAAUUUCAUAUUUCAGGUUCUCCCAGAAAACAUGAUAACGCAGAGGCUUCAAUCUAAAUCCAUAAGUGACUAAUUUCAAGUGUGGGGUACUAAGCAUUCCAACUGUGAAACUAAAUUCAAUCCAGACCGAAAUACAGAAGAACUAAAUAAGGUUCAUCUUGGCAUAGAUAAACCACAACUUUUAGAAGUGCAAGGCAUUGGAAAUUCAUCUCCAGAACAUCGAAAACGCAAAGUAAGUUGCGAAAUAUUUCCAAACAUCUAGAGCAAAAUUGUCUGAGUUUCUGACGCAUUAUCCACUGAAUUACCUCAACAACUGCAUCCAGUAGCAGCCACCCAAAAAUAUCUCCCGAAUACAUCCUCGCAGAAAAACCCCUAGUGCUUAGCUCAAAUCAGCAUGAAACUACAUGAGGAUCCAAUUCCAACCAAAGCAAUCUAACGGGGAAGGGAGACGGUGGAGAUGCAGAGGCCCAGGCCACGAUGCGCACCUUGGCCUCCUCGAUCAGAUAGUCAAUACUCCCUGUCGCCUCCGCUCCAUGGCUCGGCCACUCAUCACAAGUGGUGGAGGAAGAUGCCCACAGUGGUCAGCCCGUCCUGGCUGUGCAAGCGGCCCCGGAUCCGGGAGUGGUCCAACCUGUGCAUGGCGCUGCUACUCCUUUCCGCCGGGUUGUGGAUCCCAGCGGCAUCAAGGUAGGAGAAGAGCUAUGCACAACCGCGUCGCUCGUGAUGAUACAUGAACGGCGGACCAGGUUGAGGCCCUCAUCAAACUCGUGAUCUGACUCAGAGUACAAGCCCAUUGAAGCGGCGACUGUGGUGUUGGCAGAGGUGGAGCUAGCAGCUUGUAGGGGAAUGAAGAAGCUUCAUCCGCGGCCAUGAUGCAGACGAGCGGCGACCGAUUUUUCUCGGGAGACCAGGAGGGAGACGGGGAAUACUGGAUCGGGG